AGUCCUACGGGAGGCAGCAGUGGGGAAUAUUGCACAAUGGGCGCAAGCCUGAUGCAGCGACGCCGCGUGCGGGAUGGAGGCCUUCGGGUUGUAAACUGCUUUUGUUCAAGGGCAAGGCACGGUCUUUGGCCGUGUUGAGUGGAUUGUUCGAAUAAGCACCGGCUAACUACGUGCCAGCAGGCGCGGUAAUACGUAGGGAGCAAGCGUUAUUCGGAUUUAUUGGGCGUAAAGGGCUCGUAGGCGGUUCGUCGCGGCCGGUGUGAA
rnacentral:rRNA from 1 species